UAAAGAUGUGUUUAAAGAUGCAAGAGGUAGCAAAGCAGUAAAAGACAAAAAUGAGUGGCAACAUUUAAAACAGUGGUUUGAAUUGCCAA